rnacentral:lncRNA from 1 species
AUAGCAACAGCAGCGUAGCUGAACAUCUUACGGAUGGCCCAGGGCUCCAAAGGCUCGUUUCCUAAGUGAGAGAGAGCCUGGCUGAAGCUGUAUUACCAUUCAUUCUCCAGCCUCCGAAGUCUCAAAGCAUCACUUCCACCAUACUCUAACUGUCAAGACAAACACAAAGGCCCAGAAACUGCCAGACUGUCUUCUGAAGUGGCUAUAAUAUUUACACUCCCAUCAGCAGUGUAGAAGGGGUCUCACUAUGUUGUCUGGAGUGCUGUGGUGGAGUGGAGUGGCUAUUCACAGCUGAGUUUGCAGAGUAAACCACUACCCUGAAAUCUGGAAAGGCAGGUGCACCCACAGAUCCUCAGCUGAGAUCCAAUUACCUGAAAUAGAAGCUGCCAUUAGGAACACUUAAAAGAGCCUGUUCUGCUGGGACACAGAAUCACUUGCUCCAUCUCAUACAUUGAUGAUGAUUAAUUUGUAUGUGUACCUUCCAAAAAAGAUGGUUGUGUUUGAAUGGAGGCCUUCUGGACAGGAAAAUAUGGAGAGUGCGUGCUUUGGAUUCAAGACUGGGAAUGAGGGGACCAGAAACCUAUUCUGUGGCUGU